CCUACGGGAGGCAGCAGUGGGGAAUAUUGGACAAUGGGGGGAACCCUGAUCCAGCGACGCCGCGUGAGUGAAGAAGUAUCUCGGUAUGUAAAGCUUCAUCAGCAGGGAAGAAAAUGACGGUACGUGUCCAAUAAGCUCCGGCUAACUACGUGCCAGCAGCCGCGGUAACACGGAGGGGGCAAGCGUUACCCGGAUUUACUGGGUGUAAAGGGAGCGUAGGCGGUUCAGCAAGUCUGAUGUGAAAGGUAGGGGCCCAACCGCGGGACUGCAUUGGAAACUGGUGAACUGGAGUACAGGAGAGGUAAGCGGAAUUCCUAGUGUAGCGGUGAAAUGCGUAGAUAUUAGGAAGAACACCAAUUGCGAAGGCAGCUUACUGGACUGUAACUGACGUUGAGGCUCGAAAGCGUGGGUAGCAAACAGGAUUAGAUACCCGAGUAGUC
rnacentral:rRNA from 1 species